UGGUUUCCUGGCGACGCGGCGCUGCAGGCGGUUGCAUUCCCCAUCGUUACCCUCUUUCUCUUCCCGACGCGUGAGUUAGGCCGUCAUGCCUUGGCUGCUCUCAGCCCCCAAGCUGGUUCCCGCUGUAGCAAACGUCCGCGGCCUCUCAGGGUCUUACUUUGUCGCCCAAGCUGGAGUGCAGUGGCGUGAUCCCAGUACACUGCAACCUAUGUCUCCCAGGCUCAAGCAGUCUUUCUGCCAGCUUCCUGAGUAGCUGGGACUACAGGAGCUUCUUGGACGAUUUAACAGGUCCUCAAGCGAGUCUUCAAAGAAGUGAAAAGAGAAUGGAUCCCUUUCAUGAAAAAUUUCUUUAAAAACAUCAUCUGGCUUAUGGAAUGUGAAGUCAUACUCACAUUCGUCAUCAAAAUGACUUCCACCUCCGUUUAAUCCUUCUGUGCCAUAUUUAUCAUAAAUGUCCCGUUUUUCAUCAUUUGAUAAUACCUCGUAUGCCUCAGCUACUUCUUUGAAUUUUCUCUCUGCUUCUUCUUUAUUUUCUGGAUUUUUAUCAGGGUGCCAUUUAAGUGCCACUUUAUGAUAAGCUUUUUUAAUGUCCUCAGGUGAAGCAUAUCUUUGCACUCCUAGAACUUCAUAGUAAUCCACCAUGUUUUAACAGAUAAUUGGAAGUGGGUAUGCUGGGUAUUGAGAACCGUGGUUUCCUCAGCUCAGGCUCUGCUGGUGGUGGUGAUAGAGGUAGUGACUGCAAAUAGGUACAUUUUUAUGUUAAAGACGAUGUUAUUACCCUGUGCUAGGAGAUGAGGAUACUGAUUAUGUGGCAAGCAGGGUUACAAAUAUGUCAGAGAGGGCUGCAUUAUGGUGUCAUUCUGGGGUCAUUGUAGGGACUGGACCUUCCAGAUAGAGCUAGUCCAGAGUUGUAGCAGGCCAUCCUGAAUCCUCUGGACUGUUUCCCCUGUAUAUUUCCCUGGAAGCUUCAGGCAGUGCCUCAUAAGCCAAUGGAAUCUGUUGCUAAUAGCCACAGCAUAUCCCUUGCAUAAUAUGACCUCUAGAUUACUGGGCCUUAAUUACUUCCCAGCUCUUCUAUGCUUUGGUUUAGAAAAAUGAAGUAGUGACUUACCGGUGAAGAAAGUAUUCAAGCAGUUAACAUAUUUAUUUCAGUCAAGAAACAGUUCAGUGGGAGAUACAAACAAGUAACUUAGUUACAAUAUAAUAGUUAUGAUGAGAGGAAGUACUGGAUGCUAAACAAUUAUAUGAGAGACAGCUCAGGCUGGGGGUGUCAAUGAAAGCCUCUUGGAGGAAGUAGCCUGAUACGUUAACUUUCUGCAUGCCAGUGGUAAGUCAUUUGAGAUUAUAGUAUCUUUGUCCACCCAAGGUUUACUGCUAUAAAACAUGUAAUUAAAGAUUUGGAAAGUUGUGUGUUUAUG
rnacentral:sRNA from 1 species